GGCCAGGCUGGCUGGCUGGGGCUGA
rnacentral:piRNA from 1 species